rnacentral:rRNA from 1 species
UUCCAGACUCCUACGGGAGGCAGCAGUGAGGAAUAUUGGUCAAUGGGCGGGAGCCUGAACCAGCCAAGCCGCGUGAGGGAAGAAGGUACAGCGUAUCGUAAACCUCUUUUGUCAGGGAACAAAGGCGGGGACUAGUCCCCGGAUGAGGGUACCUGAAGAAAAAGCAUCGGCUAACUCCGUGCCAGCAGCCGCGGUAAUACGGAGGAUGCGAGCGUUAUCCGGAUUUAUUGGGUUUAAAGGGUGCGUAGGCGGGCUGUUAAGUCAGCGGUCAAAUGUCGGGGCUCAACCCCGGCCUGCCGUUGAAACUGGCGGCCUCGAGUGGGCGAGAAGUAUGCGGAAUGCGUGGUGUAGCGGUGAAAUGCAUAGAUAUCACGCAGAACUCCGAUUGCGAAGGCAGCAUACCGGCGCCCAACUGACGCUGAAGCACGAAAGCGUGGGUAUCGAACAGGAUUAGAUACCCCAGUAA